rnacentral:rRNA from 1 species
AUCAACUUUCGAUGGUAGGAUAGAGGCCUACCAUGGUGGUAACGGGUAACGGGGUGUUAGGGCACGACACCGGAGAGGGAGCCUGAGAAACGGCUACCACAUCCAAGGAUGGCAGCAGGCGCGCAAAUUACCCAAUCCCGACACGGGGAGGUAGUGACAAUAAAUAACAAUACGGGGUUCUUUAGGAUCUCGUAAUUGGAAUGAGUACAAUUUAAAUCUCUUAACGAGGAACAAUUGGAGGGCAAGUCUGGUGCCAGCAGCCGCGGUAAUUCCAGCUCCAAUAGCGUAUAUUAAAGUUGUUGCAGUUAAAAAGCUCGUAGUUGAAUUUCGGGGUCAGUAGGUUGGUCGUGCCACCGGUACGUACUGGUCUCACUGAUUCCUCCUUCCUGAUGAGCUGUAAUGCCAUUAAUUUGGUGUUGCAGGGAAUCUGGACUGUUACUUUGAAAAAAUUAGAGUGUUUAAAGCAGGCUCACGCUUGAAUACAUUAGCAUGGAAUAAUGAAAUAGGACAUCCGAUUCUAUUUUGUUGGUUUCUAGGAUUGACGGAAUGAUUAAUAGGGAUAGGUGGGGGCAUUAGUAUUCAAUUGCAGAGGUGAAAUUCUUGGAUUUAUUGAAGACUAACUACUGCGAAAGCAUUUGCCAAGGAGGUUUUCAUUAAUCAAGAACGAAAGGUAGGGGAUCGAAGACGAUCAGAAACCGUCGUAGCCUUAACCAUAAACUAUGCCGACCAGGGAUCGGGCGAGGUGACAAAAGGACCCGCCGGCCCCCGGGGAAACCAAAGUGUUUGGGUUC